UUUUGGAAUAAUUUUAGAUUUAUAGAAAAGUUGUAAAAAUUGUCCAGAGAUUUCCUGUAUAACAACCACCAAACUUCCCUGGUGUUAACAUUUUAUUUUAUUUUUUAAUUAUUUAUUUAUUUAUUCAUGAGAGACAGAGAGAGAAAGAGAGGCAGAGACACAGGCAGAGGGAGAAGCAGGCUCCAUGCAGGGAGCCCUAUGAGGGACUCGAUCCCAGGACUCCAGGAUCACACUGUGGGCCAAAGGCAGGCGCUAAACCACUGAGCCACCCAGGGAUCCCCUAACAUUUUAUUUUUAAAGACUUACUUAUUUUAGAGAGAGAGAGAGAGAGAGAGAGAGAGCACGAGUAGGAGGGGCAGAGGGAGAGGGAAAAAGAGUCUCAAGCCAACUUCAAGCUGAGCACAGAGCCUGAGAGCUCAGUCUCAUGACCCCGAGAUCAUGACCUGAGCUGAAACCAAGAGCCGAUACUUCACUGCACAACCCAGGCGCCCCACCUAAUGUUAUUUAACAUUUUUAAUACCUUUGUCAAAACAAUGACAACAAUGUUGAUGCAUUAACUAAAUUUCAAACUUUAUUCAUGUUUCACUAGUGGGUCACUAAUUACUAUUGUUUUUUUCUGUUCUAGGAUCCCAUCCAGAAUACCACACUGCAUUUUGUCAUCAUGUCUCCUUAGAUUCCCCUGGUCUAUGACAAUAUCUUAGCCUUGCUUUGCCUUUCAAGAUUUUGACAGAUUGAAGAGUAUGGCCAGAUGUUUUAUAGACUGUGAAUUUGGGUUUGUCUGAUGUUUUCUUCUGAUUAGCUUAGGUUAUGAGUUUGAAGAGAAGAAUGUCAGUCACAAAGGAGAAGUGCUCUCUUCCUCACAUUAUGUUAGGGAGUACAUGACAUCAGCAUGACUUAUACUGGUGAUGUUAACUUUGAUUAUUUUGGUUACAGUAGUAUCUGCCUCCAUUUUUCACUAUAAAACUCUCCCCUUCUCCUACUAUAUUUUUGGGAUGCGAGACACUAAAUCCAGGUUUCACUCAAGGAGAACUGAGGCAUGGGAAUUACACCCCACUUCCUGGAGGGAACAAUAUUUACCUAUGUUGUUGUAUGGAAGCCUCCUGUAAGGAUGAUUUGCCGCUUUUCUCCCACAUAUUUAUUUAUCCAACAUUUGUUUAUAUCAACAUGAACUCAUGUAUAUUUAUUUUAUAGUUUGGAUUCUAAUCUAGUGUGAUGUUAUUAAUUCUGUUGCUCAUAUUGUUCCAGCUUUGCUCUUUGGGAGCUUGUAGAAGUUGGUUCCUGUGUCCCUUUGACAGACUAUCAUACUUUCUUUUAUGUAUUUAUUUAUUUAUGUAUUUCUGGACUCCUUUCCUAUUUUUGGCAUAGGUAUUCUUUUGAAUGUCCCAGCAUUACCUAGGAAUGUCGAGAUCACUCAGAGGGGAAAGAGUAGAACUAAUACUGAAACCCAGAAACUCUGAUGCACAAGUCCCUAAGUUUUUGGCAUGACACUGCCUGCCUCACAAGAUAAUCAGGGCAAACGAGAGGCUAGGACCCAUAAAAGGAGAACUUCACCACUAAACAGCAGCUAGUGGACUCAGAAAUAGCUCUCUGGCCUUGGAACCUAUGGACGGAGGAUGGAGGCUACUGGGGUCCCUAGUGGAAUAUUAAUCGUGAAAGCUAAAACUAAUUAAGAAGUAGGGAAGCUCCGGGCUCCAUUGCUGGUUUGGUGUUCUUGUGGGCAUACUAGGGGGAGAGGGGGUCAAAGCAAACUAAUCUUGGGGGAUCCCUGGGUGGCUCAGCAGUUUAGCACCUGCCUUCAGCCCAGGGCCUGAUCCUGGAGUCCCGGGAUCAAGUCCCACCUCAGGCUCCCUGCAUGGAGCCUGCUUCUCCCUCUGCCUAUGUCUCUGCCUCUCUCUCUCUCUCUCUCUCUCUCUCUCUGUGUGUGUGUGUGUGUCUCAGGAAUAAAUAAAUAAAAUCUUUAAAAAAAAUCUUGACUUGCUUUUCGUUUCUAGCUCUGUCUCAUACUGUUAGGUAUCCAGAUUGGUUAACUGUGCAUCUCAUUAAAUAGGGUUCUAUGAUCAAGGCAGCUAAGACUUUGCCUAAUCCUGCUACCACUACAGCAUCUAGCCAAGAAAAGAGUUACUAGCAUUCAGAAGGUGACCUCCCCAAGCUAAUGCUACAUAUUGAAAUAGGUAUUGCUUUUACCUGGCCAAAGUAUUCCAAUUUAGAUCAGGUUGGCCAAACUGCUGGAUUAUAAAAAGUUGUAAAGAAAAAAAAAGUCAUAAAGAAAUCUAUCACUUGUACACAGGAAAUAUAAACACAAUUAUGUUUAUAAUUGUCAAUACUUUUCCUAAAUUCAGGGGGUAAAAUGCUCAUGUUGGGGUAUGUAUAUAAAAUGUCUGCAAUGCACAUAUCAUGGUCCAUUUGGUCCAAUUUAGAACAGUACGUUAUACUUAACAGAGGAGCAAAGGACUUCAGUCACAAUAAGGCCACAAUUCUUUAUCAUGCUUUUAGUGGUCCACUACAAUUUUUGAUAAAAGUUUCUUCAUCCAAGAGAAGAAAGCUCUAUAUUUUAACAAUUUUGAAUCAAAUUUUCAUUAAAUCCAACAAUACUGGGGCAAUUUGUAAAAAAUAUAUGUAUUUUUUAAAUUUUCAAAUCAAUACCAGGCCAGUAAAAGAUAUGUCACUGAAUGGCAUACAUAACACUCCGAUAGUAACAUAGGAACAAAAAUAUGAAUGUCUACCGUACAACUCCAGAUUAUUAAUAAUGAUGUAUGCCUCAGGCAAUAUACUUAGAACCUGUACUAUCAUUCUUUGACAUAUAAUUAAUCCAUUUCAUCAUUCUGAGGCCAAACAAUGUUUAAUGAUGCCAAUAAAAAAGUAAUUAGAAACUGUAAUUUUGACUUAGGACUGAGAAUGUGUUUAUAAAUGUAGCCCAAUAAAGCAGUGAUGGAUCUAUAUGUCCUAUUCUAAGACACGCUUCUCUCGUCUCUCAUCCAAUCACAUGGAAUUACUAGAAAAGGAGGCAGUACCUGAAAUCUUAACCUUUUGUUUGGGGAUUGAUUACCAUAGUAGAGAAAUAGACUUCCCAAUUAUUGACAAAGACACACAGUUACCCAUUAGUGUGGGUACAGAACUUGUCUAAAUCAUUUCGACAAGUGACUAAAAGUUUCCUGUCCAGACCUUCACUUUGCUCAUGCCCCCACCAACCAGCCACUCACUGCAGUCUCUUGGCUUCUCGGUCUAUUAUUAUUUUUGGAUCACGGGGGACACAGACAAGGAACAACAACAGAACAGAAGACCUUUCCUUUCUCUGAACUGCUCCGUUCUGUGAAAACUGUGUGAAAGUGGUUGCAUCUGUGAACUCUGUCUCAUUAGAGCCAAAUGUCUGUGGUGCUCCUUCAUGGCUGUGUGAUUGAAAUGACAAGUUCCCUGAGCAUUGUGCUUUGUUAAGAAUGCAUGGAUUGGUGAUGGCUCAGGUUCUGGACCAAAAGCCAUAGCUGGACAAAGAUUGGAAUGACCUGUCAUGGUUAACUUAGAAUCCCAGGGGGAAAUGUUACCCUUCAGUCACUGUUUUUUUGAAAAACCCAAAAGUAAAAUAAUAUGGACCUGUGGUUAAAAGUUAUGAGGUUAAAAGUAAAGCUCAAAAGUAGAAAUGCAAUGAUAGCUUGAGCACACUGGAAAUAUUAAAAACUAUUAAAUGUUUUUGAAGCACAUUUUAUCUGUAGGACACUGGAAUAAGCCGCCUUAGGAUAAAAAAGAUAAAGAAAAAAUACACUGUGUUUGCUUUCAACUUAGAAUGAAUGUACCUGCAUGAUACACUGGAGAAUAAUUACAAAACAAUCCAGGAAAAAUUACAUAGUUUGGCCAUAAUGAAUUGGUAUCAAAGGGAUGAAAAAGGAAGGAAUUAGCAUGGUAUCAGUAAAAACUUGAGCCCAUGCAUGCCUCAAGUGAAGGAGUAUUUUAGAAAUCAUCUUGUUAAUUUGACUAUAAUUUGUAGGUGGCCAGACUAAGCACAGGGGAUCCAAGUAAUCAACAUGUAGGAUAUCCUAGAAUUCUGCUUGAAAUAAUUUGUGAUAUUUUCAAGUUUUUACUGGGGCAGUAUCUCUUUUUAACACUGCUGUAUUGCCAUAGCCCAACUGAGCUCAACAUAUAUAAUAGGUAACUGAUUAAUAUCUGUUCUUUAAAUGAAUACAUAAUACAAUAAUAUAGUUGCAUUGGGAGUUGACAAUAGGCUGAGAAGAUUCACAAGACUCUAGUCAUACCUACAGCUGUGAUUUAUUACAGUGAAAGGCUAUGAAGAAAAUCAACAAAAAUAAAAAUAC
rnacentral:lncRNA from 1 species